GCGAAGCAAAAUUAAUAAAUCCCAUAAAAUAAUAUAAGGCAGUGAUAAUGAAUAAAAAUUAAAACUCAAAUGGUAUAAUCUAAUACAUAUAUAAUUAUUUAAAAAUAAUAAUAAAUGUUAAAAAAAAGUAUGUAUAUGUAUACAUAUAUUAUAUUAAUGAAUUAAUAAAACUAAGGCAAAUAAAAAGUAUAAUAAAAUAAUAAGGUAGAAAUGUUUACCAUUUAAAUAUUUAUACAUAUAUAUAUAUAUAUAUAACUUUUUUUUUUUUUUUUUAACAUGCUAUAUAUUAUGAAAAAAAAAAAAAAAAAAAAAAAAAAAAAAAAAAUGAAACAAAUUAUUAUAAUAUGAUACAGUUCGUUAGUUUUUUUAUAAAUAUAUUUAUUAUAUAUACAAAUACAUAUACAAACGCGUAUACAGACGCAUAUACAAACGCAUAUACAAACGCAUAUACAAACNNNNNNNNNNACGCAUAUACAAACGCAUAUACAAACGCAUAUACAAACACAUAUACAAACGCAUAUAUGUAAAUACAUAUGUAUGUAUAUGUAUAUACAACAAGAGAACAAAAGUUAGAAGUGUCCUUUAAAGAAGUCCAAAAGCUUCGCAUGUUCGUUAUUCAAAAACGUAUAAAAUAUUAUUUUUAAAAAAUGAAUCGCAUUUAUACGUUUGAGACAAAUUUAAAUGACAUUUUUACUGGGCACAAUAUAAAAAAAUCAGAAAAAAGUUGUGAACAUUGUUUAAAAAGAAAAAGGGUUUGUAAAUGUGAAACUAUAAAAAGAGAAUUAGGAUGUGAAGAAGAAGGUAUAAUAGAAGAACUGUGGGAAGUAAAAAAGUAUUAUGAAGACAUUUGUGAGAAAAUUGUAGAUAAAUACAAAGACGUGAUAAGUCGAUUUGAAUAUGAUAAAGAUAUAGUUGAGUAUAUAAAAAAUAAAAAAUUAAAUGACGAGAUAGAAUGUGAAGAUUGGUUAUAUUUUUAUGAAUUGUUAAAAGAAAGAAAAAUAUUAGAACGAUGCGUUGAUAUAAAAAAAACAAACGAAUUAUUAAUUCUAAAUACUUUUCAUUUUAAUGAAGAAGCUAAUUUCAUUAGUUGUUUAAAUUAUUAUAUUAAAACAAAUAAUUAUUCCAAUAUACAUCAUAGUUGGAUGGGUAUGAGUUUAAACUCAUUUAACGAGUAUUUAGAUUAUAAUAACAUAUGUAGUAAUAAUAUAAAUAAUAAUACUCACACUUUUGAAACAGAAAAAGUAAGUGUUCAGAAUUUGAAUAUCAAACAACAAAAAAUAGAUAAUUUAUACAUAUAUAAGAAUAUAGAUAAAAAUAACAAUAUAUCAACACAAGUACCACCUUUAUUAUUAUUAUUGUAUAAUUAUAAAAAAAUAUAUCCAUUAUAUUAUUAUUUAUAUAUAAUAGAAAAUGACAAAUGGGUAUCUGGUAUUAAUAAUACAGGUAAUGUACUUGACUAUGGUAGUGUUAAUUACAUAUGGAAUAAAGUAGUUAGAGGUGAUAGUAACAAAAUAAAAUUAUUUCAUUUAAUUACAUCCAAUUGUGUUAUAAACAAUGAUGAUAUAAACUUUAAUACAUUUUUAAAUAAAGAAAAAAAAAAUAUAGAAUUCAAGAUAUGCAAUUAUGUGAACUUGAAAAAAUGUUAUGUAUUAGUCAUUUAAUUUGUUCAUUAGGUAUGUUAAAUAUUGGUGGUUGUUUUAUUAUGAAAAUUAAAUUAUCUUUUAGUAAUACAUUAAUGUCUUUAUUUGCUAUUUUAUCGAUUUGUUUUAAAAAGUUAGAAGUAUAUAAACCAUCUUGUUGUUAUUUAAAAAAUAUAGUUUUUGUAGUGGCUACACAUUUUAUUGGUAUUACUUCGAUAUUUUUGGCUACCUUGAAUUCUCGACUCCAGUUAGCACAAAAGGAGUUAACUAAUUUGUUAUAUCAUCAGUCAUGUAGUACUAUAGCCUUAAACAUUGAGACUAACAUUAAAAAUGUCAAUAGUACUGACAAUGAUAUUAACACUAUAUCUACUACAAGGUCAAACAACUGUACAAACCACAACCUUAUUCCCAAAAAAUGGCUUACAGAUAAAUUUUUUGAAGAAUACACAACUUGUAUAAAACUAUUUAACGAAUGCCUUAUUAACAAUUUAAAACAAUGUAUAAAUGUCUCAAACAUUAAUUUAAUAAAAAAAAUAUAAAGAAUACGAAAGAUACA
rnacentral:lncRNA from 1 species